rnacentral:rRNA from 1 species
GACGAACGCUGGCGGCGUGCCUAACACAUGCAAGUGGAGCGACGAACCAGGUGCUUGCACCUGGGGAAAGCCGCGAACGGGUGAGUAACGCGUGGAUAAUCUGCCCCGAUGACCGGGAUAACCCGAGGAAACUCGAGCUAAUACCGGAUGUGUUCGUAAACUGACUGGUUUACGAACAAAUGGAAGCUUCGGCCUCCGCAUUGGGAUGAGUCCGCGUCCCAUUAGCUUGUUGGUGAGGUAAAGGCUCACCAAGGCGACGAUGGGUAGCUGGUCUGAGAGGACGAUCAGCCACACUGGGACUGAGACACGGCCCAGACUCCUACGGGAGGCUG